AUUAUCUGAAGAAGAGCAGACGUAGUCGAAACGUCACACACGACUAGAUGCAGUAAAUAAGGAAGCUGGAGCUCUGCAGUGCGUGUUAAUUCUUUUCUAUGUUUACAUUUUUUCGGCUCUGCACCUGCUCCACGCGGUGUAAGGGACUCACUUCAACUGGAUGCCUUAUGUACAUGUAGACGGCAACAGUAAAGCCUCUGCUCCUGGAACAACAGUGUAAGCUACUUUUACAGGAUGUGGAUCACGGGUCAGUGGCUCUCCCAGGAGAUCUUCAGGGAACAGCAGUAUGAGUUCAUUACUUCCAGCUGGCACAAUAAGAACAGAGCUCAAAGUGUUCGCAUCUAACCUGAGUGGAACAAUAACAGAACUCGUAUGAAAAAAGCUCUAAAACAGGCAGGACUUGAACCCAGGUUAUUGUUCCAGCGUUGGACUGAUUCGACACUCCCCACCAGGUGAUUUUGAUCAGCCCUCAGGACAGGCAGCAAGAAGUAAUGAAUAAGAAGACGCGUGUUCUUUAAACACAUUUUAUUUUGUUAUUUGUUAAAGCAAAUAAAAUGCCGGAUGUCCGGGAACAAGUCACAUGUGUGCCGUGGAAACAUAAAAAGUGCAAAACCACACUGUUCCUCCUUAUAAAAACAGUUUUAAAUAAAGAUGAAGAGUAUCCCACGCCACAUAAGACAAGGUCUGACCCAGCGAGGCUCAAAGACAGUUCUUACACAGCACCGAGUGAAGGAACUGAAGCCAUCAAAUUAGUACAAAAUACAGUA